rnacentral:misc_RNA from 1 species
GAUGAAGAACGUAGCGAAAUGCGAUACUUGGUGUGAAUUCCAGAAUCCCGUGAACCAUCGAGUUUUUGAACGCAAGUUGCGCCCGAAGCCGUUAGGCCGAGGGCACGCCUGCCUGGGUGUCACAGAUCGUUGCCCCAAUGCCAAUCGCCUCACUUUGUAGGUAUUUGCUUGGGGUGAAUGUUGGCCUCCCGUGAGCUUUGUCUCACGGUUGGUUGAAAAUCGAGUGCAUGGUGUCGGGUGUACCAUGAUGGAUGGUGGUUGAGUGAUGAUGCUCGAGACCAAUCAUGGGUAACUCCACCAGAAUUGGGCUCGGUGACCCACAUGCGUCCCUUGGAUGCUCCCUAAGGAGACCUCAGGUCAGGCGGGGCUACCCGCUGAGUUUAAGCAUAUCAAUAAGCGGAGGA